CAUAGCCCAGGUGUGCCCUGUGGCCUAGGGCUUUCUUGGUCACAGCCACCAGACCGUGGGUCUCAUCCCCACAGCAGCACCAGGACAGGGACUGAGCCACCCACACACUGAGCACAGCCCCACCCGUUUUCCCAGUGCAACGGGAAACCUCACCAACCCUGAAAACUGAAAUCCCUGAUCCUUGUGCUGGAGCUGAAUACGCCCCUUGUCUCCUGGGUCCACUGCCACCAAGGCCUCCAGGCCCUCAUGGCAAAGGGAUGCCCAGCAUAGGCCCAGCCACACCCCUGCAGGGCACAGAGCCUCCACUGCCUUCCAGGCCGUCCUCGAAUGCGCUGCCCCCCUCCAGCCUGUGCAGGCGUACACGGGGGUGCAGCCUGGGGGGUACAGUCAAGGGGAGCCCUUCUCCCACAGGAGGGCAUUGGGGUGUGGGGCCUGGGGCACUGGUUCAGCUACCCCCUUAUCCCGGGCCAGGAAUGAGCUCAGUGACCACUUGGAUGCUAUGGACUCCAACCUGGAUAACCUGCAGACCAUGCUGAGCAGCCACGGCUUCAGCGUGGACACCAGUGCCCUGCUGGACCUGUUCAGCCCCUCGGUGACCGUGCCCGACAUGAGCCUGCCUGACCUUGACAGCAGCCUGGCCAGUGUGCGUAGGCGGGCGGGGGGUGAGGGGGAACGAGACCAGCGGGAGUGCUCACAAUACCGUCUCCACCCCACAGAUCCAAGAGCUCCUGUCUCCCCAGGAGCCCCCCAGGCCUCCCGAGGCAGAGAACAGCAGCCCGGAUUCAGGUGAGCCAAGUCCCACCAGCCCCAUCUCUGCCCCCAACCCCCCACCGCCUUGACACCCCCACCCCCGCAGGGAAGCAGCUGGUGCACUACACAGCGCAGCCGCUGUUCCUGCUGGACCCCGGCUCCGUGGACACCGGGAGCAACGACCUG
rnacentral:sRNA from 1 species